UAACACAUACUCCAGCGCCUUCUCGAGCCUUCGUUUAUAUUUUUCUUUUGCACACAUGACGGACGAAGGCAUCUGCAUUAUAUACGUAGCGGAUGGAGAUUCCACCAACUGUAGAUAUUUCUAUUUUAAUAUAUAUACAUAUUAAAUUACUUGCUUUGAAUUCUUUUUUUUUUAGUUGAACUCUAAUUUAUUUGCAAUAGCAGC
rnacentral:lncRNA from 1 species